UUCAAUCUGGGAGAAUGAGAGAACAAUGUCACAAUCUUUUGCUGUGGAUGAACAAAUCAACAAGUUAACAACAUUGUGAUGUCACAGCAAAUGUUUGGUGGGAAGGAUGACAGACAAAGCAAGAAACUAGAAAAAUCUUAAAAGGUUUUGGUUGGUACCUGUUCACUUGGAUUAGCAAUAGCUAAUUUACGUCCACCACCUCCCCAUUGCAAGAUUCUUUUUGACGCGCGGAAGGACAAAUUCGAUUGAAAUACGAUUUGCCAGGUCUGCGUGAAAAACUUUCGGCGUUCUAUAAGAAGGUCGUGUGGAUCUAAAAGUAUUUACCUUAGUUGACCAGAUAACCAAGUUUCCUUGCAAGUCAAUAGAAGUUAGAAACAUGCCGUCAGGCGAAAAGGAUAUGUCCCAAAUAGAAUUGGUUUGUACGAGCAAACUAAGGACUGGAUCGCUAUUUCCACAGCUAUCCCAUAACACUACAGAGCCGUCCUCUAAUCCGCUGUACUUAAUUUCAAAAGAAGCAGGUUUAAUUUAUAAAAUUAAUUUGAAAAAUUUCAGAAAGUUUUUAACCAGGCAAUCAACGUCCAACUUGAUUCAGCUAUCGAGUCACCAAAAAGGUACCAAGCUAAACAUGUGGGUCUUUUCAUUCUUUCACUUUUAACUAAAUAAAUAGGCUCAUUUUUGUCCAUCGA